AUACUUUCCGCUAGCAGCUCGAAGGAUUUAGGGCUGGAGGUGGACUAAUAGCAACAUUUUAAUGAGAAGAAAGAUGCAAAAGGACAUCUUCAUUUCACACGAAGGACUAGGCAUCUGCCUGGAAGUUUAGGGUCGCAGAGAGAGGCUGAAGCAGAGAAGGGGAAAGAAACGCACCUGUCUGAAUUGCCAGCCUACAGACCCAGGCUCCCUCUGCAAUCACUGCCACCAAUAUCCUGGAAAUAUUCAAUUUAUUUAAGACAAUUCUGAAGCUCCCUUAUAGAGAAGCCAACAAAGCUGCUAUUGCAAAUAAGACAAAUACCUUACCCUGAAUAUGUCCAGUUCUUUUCUACCCCCGUUGCUUCCUGUUGGAUGACACCUACAGUCAUUUGCAAACAUGAGUAACAGACAUCCUGCAUAUGUUUACUCUUCCUUGCAAGCAUUUGCAGUUAGAGGUUGAGUUACUUCAGCUCAGACAGCGUUAUUGUUCUGUGUGCAUGGAAGUGCUGCAGUGUGAACUGGAAUCUGGGCCUUGAAGUAGAAACAAUAUAUAUAUAAAGGAAAUGCUGAGAAGAGUAAUAAAGAGCAAUCUUCCUCUGAGUAAAUAAAAAUUACAAAAGGAAACAAUAAUCAAUAUAUUUUACAGUUCAAGAGUUCAGCACAUGCUGUUGCAGUACAGUACAAUGGAUAGGCGGCAUCCAUGGAUUAUGAAUUCCCACGUUUAUGUGGGAACAGAAGUAAAUAACUGAAACAAGAGUCAUGUUGCAAGAAUGUAAAACCAAGCUGGACUUAAUGGUGUGCUAUAUUUAAAAGAGUGAUGUGGUCCAAGGAGUAUUCACUUUAUCUUUUCCUUCAAGCCUGACUGCCUGCAACCUGCCAGGACCAGCUAAUUCAAAAGAAACCAUUUUUCUCUAUUUCAAUCACCAAUGAAAUGCAAUAUGCAUUGCACUUUGUUGCCCUGAAUCAUGGAGCCUGACAUUACUGAGCAGCAAAGCCAGGCAGGGCAUGGCAUUACGGACGUCAGUACACAGCUCUUCUCUUCCAGUUGAACAGCCAUUGCUUGGAUCAGGUAUAGCAGAACAGUCAAGGACUACAGUGACGCUGUAUGCUCUUCCAGUUUUUUUUAGGUGGGAACAGGUGGCCGAAAGCUUCAUGCCAUGAUAUAAAAUCUUUUAGCUUUACGAUGCAGAUGCAGAAGUACUGUCAGAAACUUGUUCUUAGAUCACCUAUCCAAAGGGAGAUUCUGCAUGUGCUUCACCACCUUUCCUCUCCCAGCUUGCUCUCUCUCUUUCCCUUCUUUCCCUACAAUCUCCCAUGAGGUACUGCUCUCCAGUGCUGGUAUGAGGAACAGAGCAAUCAAUGAAUCUUCCAAGUGAGAAGAAACUUCCUGAGGUCUUCAAGUGAAUCACAGAAUAGCCUGGGUUGGAAGGCACCUCAAGGAUCAUGCAUCUACAGCCCCCCUGCCACAGGCAGGGCCACCAAACUCCCCAUUUAAUACUAGACCAGGCUGCCCAGGGCCCCAUCCAACUUGCCCUUAAACACCUCCAGUUUACGGGGCAUCCAUCCACAAUUUAUUUCUCAAUGGAGUGAAUUGUCCCCGUGUUUGCCAAUGCAAAGGCUGACGGAUGGCCCAUGGGUUUGGUUGAGAGCCAAAGAAACCCUCCACAGCAACACAGCUCUGUGGAAAGCAAGUCCUGGUGGUUUUACCCCACUACUCAUUGCUGGACCUCCCGGAUCAGUCCUGAAGGCACCCAAAUACAGUCCCUGGCUGCAGCAAAAAUGUUCCCCUUCCUCUGCCCACCUCGACAUUGGCACAGGCACUGACGUCCAAUCUCCUCAGGACCACAAAGGAAAGUUGGCUGCCCUGAAGCUGUAGGAACCUCUGUCCUGUUGGACAGACAUCCACGCGUUCAAAACCGCCGUCUUUCUGUAACCAGAAAUCAAUUAAGAAAUGUGGGAAACAAAAAAUUGCGCCCGUGCUGAGAACUUCAUAAAUAAAAUUUUACCCAUUAGG
ensembl:lncRNA